rnacentral:rRNA from 1 species
AUGGCGGCCAAGGCAGCUGUGACUGCCGGCGAUGGGUGUGUGCUGAAGCGGUGCCAGCAGCAAGGUCAAGAUCUGAAGGAGAAGAACGGAACCAAAAGGAAAGCAGAGGAGGCGCCGGAAGGCGAGGAAUCUCCACUGAAGAUCUGCUCCACCAAAAGGAAAACAGCCGUGAUCGACUGCUCUGAGGUUGAGCAGGGAGCAACACCUACGGCGGCGGUGGCCAGGCGUGAGGAGGCUCCGGCGAGAAAGAUGACGAGGCUGCCGCAGGAGGAGGUGGAUUCCAUCCUGACCGAGGAGAUGGACGACGAGCGUCUCCCUCCUGAGUACAAGGCUCUGAAGCGCCACAACCCUUCAUGCAAGGAGGCACUCAAAGCCUUCGAUUUUUCAGACUUGCUUGACUUCUGA